rnacentral:rRNA from 1 species
UACAGAGGUCUCAAGCGUUGUUCGGAUUCAUUGGGCGUAAAGGGUGCGUAGGUGGCGCUGUAAGUCAGGUGUGAAAUUUCGGAGCUCAACUCCGAAACUGCAUUUGAUACUGCGGUGCUUGAGGACUGGAGAGGAGACUGGAAUUCACGGUGUAGCAGUGAAAUGCGUAGAUAUCGUGAGGAAGACCAGUGGCGAAGGCGGGUCUCUGGACAGUUCCUGACACUGAGGCACGAAGGC